AUUGAACGCUGGCGGCAUGCCUUACACAUGCAAGUCGAACGGCAGCGGACCUUCGGGUGCCGGCGAGUGGCGAACGGGUGAGUAAUGUAUCGGAACGUACCUUUUCGUGGGGGAUAACGUAGCGACAGUUACGCUACUACCGCAUUUUCUGUGAGCAGGAAAGCAGGGGAUCGCGAGACCUUGCGCUGAUUGAGCGGCCGAUAUCUGAUUAGCUAGUUGGUGAGGUAAAGGCUCACCAAGGCGACGAUCUGUAGCGGGUCUGAGAGGAUGAUCCGCGACACGGGAACUGAGGCACGGUCCAGACUCCUACGGGAGGCAGCAGUGGGAAAUUUUGGACAAUGGGGGAAACGCUGAUCCAGCCAUGCCGCGUUAGUGAGGAAGGCCUUCGGGUUGUAACGCUCUUUAGUCCGGGAAGAAAUCGCAUCAGCUAAUACCUGGUGUGGAUGACGGUACCGGAAUAAGAAGCACCGGCUAACUACGUGCCAGCAGCCGCCGUAAGAC
rnacentral:rRNA from 1 species